CGGGGAGACCGCGUUUAGAGGAUCAGUGGCGGCGGGCCCGCGCGGUGCCGGCGACUAGCAGCGAGAUGUCCUGGCCCCUUCCAGGUUUGGAGAUGGCCUUGGGAGAGCAACCUCCGGACCUCAGCAGUGUGAGGAUGACAACAGUACCCUGUGGUGCUGUCCCCACUCAGGGUUUCUCUCUGUAGCCCCGACUAUCCUGGAACUCACUCUGCAGACGAGGCUGUCCUCAAGCUCAGAGAUCUACCUGCCUCUGCCUCUGAAGUACUGGGAUUAAAGAUGCAGAGGCCUCCCAGAGAAGUGUGAAGGAAUGGGCCUUAACCAGGGUUGAAGAAAGAAAGUGAAGAAGGGGAGAGCCCAAGGAAAGGUGGGGACAGUUGGAACUUUUGUUUACACUGGUCUACUACUCAUGUAUCGUAUGCUAUAAUCUCCAAAUUCCACAUUUAUUGUAGCUGUCUGCCCCGGCCGCAUGCUGCUUGGCUAAAAAAGUGUUAAAUAAAACUGUAAGAAACGCUA
ensembl:lincRNA Lhx1os LIM homeobox 1, opposite strand